CCUUUUGUAGUCUUUGAAAAAAGUGAACCCCCUCGCAGCGAUGCGGUUUGGGAGGAUGGGCGCAAGCCCUUCUCCUGCUUGCUUUCUUCAAGGCUAUGUUUUCAUAUACACUAUAAAGUUACAGAAUGUCUUUUAAAGAUUGCUCGCGCAGUCAUUAAACCUAUACAACUUUCAGCAACGGAUCUCUUGGCUCUCCCAUCGAUGAAGAACGCAGCGAAAUGCGAUAAGUAAUGUGAAUUGCAGAAUUCAGUGAAUCAUCGAAUCUUUGAACGCACCUUGCGCCCUUUGGUAUUCCGAAGGGCAUGCCUGUUUGAGUGUCAUUAAAUUCUCAACCUUGCUCGCUUUUACUAGCUUGAGUGAGGCUUGGAUGUGAGGGCUUGCUGGCUUCCUUCAGUGGAUGGUCUGCUCCCUUUAAAUGCAUUAGUGGGAUCUCUUGUGGACCGUCACUUGGUGUGAUAAUUAUCUAUGCCUCGUUGACUUUGAAGCAAAAUUAUGGGAACCUGCUUAUAACCGUCUCGCAAGGGACAAUUUUCUGACAUUUUUGACCUCAAAUCAGGUAGGACUACCCGCUGAACUUAAGCAUAUCAAUAAGC
rnacentral:rRNA from 1 species